AGUAACGCGUGAGGAACCUGCCUCAAAGAGGGGGACAACAGUUGGAAACGACUGCUAAUACCGCAUAAGCCCACGGCUCGGCAUCGAGCAGAGGGAAAAGGAGUAAUCCGCUUUGAGAUGGCCUCGCGUCCGAUUAGCUAGUUGGUGAGGUAAAGGCUCACCAAGGCGACGAUCGGUAGCUGGUCUGAGAGGACGACCAGCCACACUGGGACUGAGACACGGCCCAG
rnacentral:rRNA from 1 species